GGGGCUGAUCGGUUUCGACGUUGGAGCCAGGAUGCGCCGAAUGCGACCGGAGUUGCUCAGACUCCCAAAACGGGGCAACCAAAGAGACGCCAAAUCUGACGAUCUCGUUCUCGCCGCCUGAUAGUUUCAGGACAAAUCAGUAGGUAGAGAAUUAUCGCGACCAGCAAUGGCACGCGGGGCCGAAUUACCGCAGCCUGGCACCAGAAGCGGUAGUGGACAGCAGGCAAAGACCGCUGACAGACGGGAAAGACCUCUGACCUCAGUGAAAGCACUGAUGGCAGGCCUUUAGUGGCCUAGCUCACCCGGGGGCGCAGCAGCCAUAAGCUGCAAACACGGGAAUGGUCGUAGCAUGAGGGCAACCACCCAACGGACGAGGGUUCGAUUCCCUCCAGCUCCACCA
rnacentral:tmRNA from 1 species